rnacentral:rRNA from 1 species
GAUGAACGCUGGCGGCGUGCCUAAUACAUGCAAGUCGAGCGAACAGACCAUGAGCUUGUUCCUCUUACGUUACCGGCGGACGGGCGCGUAACACGUGGAUAACCUACAUAUAAGACUGACUUAACUUCGGGAUACCGGAGCUAAUACUAGUUCAUAUAUUGAACCGCUUGCUUCAUUAGUGGAAGAGGGUUUUGCUGUCGCUUAUGGAUGGGUACGCGCCGCAUUAGCUAGUUGGCAAGGUAACGGCUUACCAAGGCAACGAUCCGUAGACGACCUGAGAGGGUGGUAGGGCACCCUGGAACGGAGCCACGGUACGGACUACUACGGGAGGGAGCAGUAGGGAGUGUACCGCAAUGGGCGGAAGCAUGACGGAGCACAGCCGAGUGAGGGAUGAAGGUCUUCGGAUAGUAGAACUAUGUUAUUAGGGAAGAACGAAUGUGUCAAUAACUAGGCACGUCUUGACGGUACCUAAUCAGAAAGCCACGGCUAACUACGUG